rnacentral:rRNA from 1 species
CCUACGGGAGGCAGCAGUGAGGAAUAUUGGUCAAUGGACGCAAGUCUGAACCAGCCAUGCCGCGUGCAGGAAGACUGCCCUAUGAGUUGUAAACUUCUUUUGUACGAGGGUAAACGCAGACACGUGUAUCUGUCUGCAAGUACCGUAUGAAUAAGGAUCGGCUAACUCCGUGCCAGCAGCCGCGGUAAUACGGAGGAUUCAAGCGUUAUCCGGAUUUAUUGGGUUUAAAGGGUGCGUAGGCGGGCGGUUAAGUUAGAGGUGAAAUCUCGAGGCUCAACGUCGGAAUUGCCUCUGAUACUGUUCGGCUAGAGAGUAGUGGCGGUAGGCGGAAUGUGUGGUGUAGCGGUGAAAUGCUUAGAGAUCAUACAGAACACCGAUUGCGAAGGCAGCUUACCAAGCU